AUUGAACGCUGGCGGCAGGCCUAACACAUGCAAGUCGAACGAGUGGCGGACGGGUGAGUAAUGUCUGGGAAACUGCCUGAUGGAGGGGGAUAACUACUGGAAACGGUAGCUAAUACCGCAUACCAUCGGAUGUGCCCAGAUGGGAUUAGCUAGUAGGUGGGGUAAAGGAUCACCUAGGAGACGAUCCCUAGCUGUGUUGAGAGGAUGACCAGACACAAUGGAACUGAGACACGGUCCAGACUCCUACGGGAGGCAGCAGUGGGGAAUAUUGCACAAUGGGCGCAAUCCUGAUGCAGCCAUGCCGCGUGUAUGAAGAAGGCCUUCGGGUUGUAAAGUACUUUCAGCGGGGAGGCGUUACCCGCAGAAGAAGCACCGGCUAAAUCCGUGCCAGCCGCCGCUGUAAUUC
rnacentral:rRNA from 1 species